rnacentral:rRNA from 1 species
AGACCCGAAACCCGGUGAUCUAGCCAUGGGCAGGUUGAAGGUUGGGUAACACUAACUGGAGGACCGAACCGACUAAUGUUGAAAAAUUAGCGGAUGACCUGUGGCUGGGGGUGAAAGGCCAAUCAAACCGGGAGAUAGCUGGUUCUCCCCGAAAGCUAUUUAGGUAGCGCCUCGUGAAUUCAUCUCCGGGGGUAGAGCACUGUUUCGGCUAGGGGGCCAUCCCGGCUUACCAACCCGAUGCAAACUGCGAAUACCGGAGAAUGUUAUCACGGGAGACACACGGCGGGUGCUAACGUCCGUCGUGAAGAGGGAAACAACCCAGACCGCCAGCUAAGGUCCCAAAGUCAUGGUUAAGUGGGAAACGAUGUGGGAAGGCCCAGACAGCCAGGAUGUUGGCUUAGAAGCAGCCAUCAUUUAAAGAAAGCGUAAUAGCUCACUGGUCGAGUCGGCCUGCGCGGAAGAUGUAACGGGGCUAAACCAUGCACCGAAGCUGCGGCAGCGACGCUGAUGCGUUGUUGGGUAGGGGAGCGUUCUGUAAGCCUGCGAAGGUGACCUGUGAGGGUUGCUGGAGGUAUCAGAAGUGCGAAUGCUGACAUAAGUAACGAUAAAGC